rnacentral:rRNA from 1 species
GACGAACGCUGGCGGCGUGCCUAAUACAUGCAAGUCGAACGCAGUGGGGACGGGUGAGUAACACGUGGGUAACCUCCCAUCAGAGGGGAUAACACUUGGAAACAGGUGCUAAACCGAUACUGAUGGAUGGACUCGCGGUGCAUUAGCUAGUUGGUGAGGUAACGGCUCACCAAGGCCACGAUGCAUAGGGGAGCUGGGAGGGUAGUCGGCAACAAUGGAAAUGAGAAACGGACCAGACUCCUACGGAAGGCAGCGGUGGGGAAUAUUGCGCAAUGGGCGAAAGUCUGACCAAGCAAAGCCGCGGGGGUGAAGAAGGUUUUCGGAUCGUAAAAAUCUAUUAUUAUAGAAGAGGUAUCUAAACAGAAAGCCACGGCUAACUACGUGACAGCCGCCGCGGUAAUAA